UCCCUGGUGGCUCAACAGGUUAAGAUCUGGCAUUGUCACUGCCAUGACUCGGGUUUAAUCCCCGGCCUGGGGA
rnacentral:tRNA from 1 species